rnacentral:rRNA from 1 species
GCAAGUACCAGGUAUCCGCAUAGGCAGUCGAGCGGAUCUUCGGACUUGCUGGCUGAUUGGUGAGUAGACGGUGGAAACAUGCCUUUGAGUUCGCAUGGCUCGGGGGACUUGUGCUAAACCGAAAGGUGCCCUUCGGGGGAAACAUUUGUCGCCUUUGGAGCGGCCCCCGUCCGAUUACCUACUUAGUGAGGUAAGGGCUCACCACUGCGACGAUGGGUAACUGGCCUGAGAGGAUGAUAACCCACAUUGGGACUGAAACACGGCCCAUACUCCUACGGGAGGCACCAGUGCCGAAUCUUGCCCGGUGGGCGAAAGCCUGAAUCAUCCAUGCCGCGUGAAUGACGAAUGCCUUCAGAUUGUAAAAUUCUUUCACCGGGUACGAUUGUGACGGUACUUGGAUAAGAAGCCACGGCUAACUUCUUGCCACCUGCCGCUUUAAUACUAACGGGGCUAGCGUUGCUCGGAAUUACUGGGCCUAAAGGCAGCGUAAGCGGACAUUUGAAUCAGGUGUGAAAUCCUGGGGCUCAACCUCGGAAUUGCCUUUGAUACUGGAUGUCUUGAGUGUAACACAGGUAUGUGGAACUCCAAUUGUACAGGUGAAAUUCAUAUAUAUUCGGAAAAACGGCAGUGGAAAUUGCUACGUACUGGCUCAUUACUGACACUGAGGCUCGAAAGCGUGUGGAGCAAGCAAGAUUAUAUACUGUGGUAGUCCACGCCGUACACGAUGAUUGCUAGCUGACGGGAUUCAUGCAUCUCGGUGACCCAGCUAUCACAUAAAUCAAUCCGCCUGGGGAGUACGUUCGAUCUAUUAAAACUCACAAGAAUUGACAGGCGCCCGCACGAGCAGUGCAGCCUGUGGUUAAUUCUAAACAACGCUGACAAGCUUACCACCUAUUGACAUGCCCAGACCGUCACAUAGAUGUGACUCUCACAUCCGAGACUGGACACACGUGCUGCAUAGCUGUCGUCAACUCAUGUCGUCAUAUGUUGACUUAAAUCCCGCAACGAGCGCAACCCUCG